UCUUUAAAUAAAUAAAUAAAUAAAUAAAUAAGAAUUGGAUCUACAAAAGGGAGGGUUAACAUGGCCCCUGCACAAUGAUGACACACAAAUUUGUGAAGCAUUCCAUAUUUGU
rnacentral:snRNA from 1 species